CGUCUGCUGUCUGCUGGACGUGUGCCCCGCCAGAAGACGGACGGACAGCUAAGUGCACUGCAAUUAUCUGAUAUCAACUUUAUUACUGAAUGUACCCUUUCCAAUUAGAAAACAUUAUUGUUUUUAUACCUAUGUACAAAUAUGUAUAGGUCAUCAAAAUAUAUAACUUUUUUUCAAUGAUAUACGUAAUUGUUGUGGUCGAAUGUAUAUGUGGACUUUAAUCGUACUACAGACAAUCAGAUAUACACAUACAGCGUGGGUCAUAGGAGCAAUAUUUUUUAAAAUGACCGUUUGAAAUAAAUUUGUUGGAAUUUUGGUAAUCUCAUUAUGAAAUAUCAAGAAAUUAAUUUAAUUUGUCUUUUAUAUUAUUUUAUGUGCAAUUUUAUUAUUAUUUGUCGUGUUCCUAACGUGUCCGACGUUAGGAACACUCUAAUAUGUGUAUGUGUAAGGUGUAUACUCUAAUAGAGUUGUAGAUUUCCUAAAAAUAGUAAAAAUUACGAAACUAAGGGCCACUUGCACCGGUCACAAACCCGGGGUUAACUGGUAAAUCCUGUAUUUGCCAUGGUUACCAGUACAAUUUGACACUGGGUUAACAGUUUAACCGGUUAACCCCGGGUUAGUGGAAUGGUGCAAGUGACGCUAAGUAAUUAAAAUUUUGUAUAGUAUAUUAUAUUGUUUUACAGCGGACUAUCAUAUCCGUAUAAUUGAUAAUAUAAGAUUAUAGAAUGAAGUGUACCUAUUGUAACUUUAUGUUUUCUACUUAAGUUUGAUUUGUCAAUGUAGGUACUUAUGAUUGUAUUUACUUUAAUUAACGUAUCAUACAUAUUAGCUAAACAUUUAUGUAAAUGCGUGGUGAUAGGAUGAAUUAAUGUGAAGAUGGUUUGAUUUGAUGCAUGUUUUACUAGACAAUUUUAUAUAAUUACUAAGAGCCCAUCAACGUGCACACUAGCGCCACUGCUAAAUAAUCGUGAUUAUUUAAAUAUAACGAAAAAUAUUUAAAAAAAAGCGGCGAAGUGCGAGUCGGUCUCGCCCAUGAAGGGUUCCGUAGCAGCAAGUAACAAAAUAAAAUUGCGGUUUACGGUUUAUGACGUAUUAAAAAAAACUACUUACUAGAUCUCGUUCAAACCAAUUUUCGGUGGAAGUUUGCAUAGUAAUGUACAGCAUAUUUUUUUUUGUUUUAUAAUUCUCUUAUUUUAGAAGUUACAGGGGGGGGGGGGACACAUUUUACCACUUUGGAAGUGUCUCUCUCGCAAACUAUUCAGUUUAGAAAAAAAUUAUAUUAGAAACCUCAAUAUAAUUUUUGAAGACCUAUCCAUAAAUACCCCACACGUAUGGGUUUGAUAAAAAAAAUUGAGUUUUAUUUCUAAGUAUGGGGAACCCCUAAAAUUUAUUGUUUUUUUUUUCUAUUUUUGUGUGAAAAUCUUAAUGCGGUUCACAGGGUACAUCUACUUACCAAGUUUCAACAGUAUACUUCUUAUAGUUCAGGAAAAAAGUGGCUGUGACAUACGGACGGACAGACAGACAGACAGACAUGACGAAUCCAUUUCGGUUUCGUUUUUUUGCCAUUUGGCUACGGAACCCUAAAAAGGGGGCCGCUUCGUACUGUAUUUUGUAUUUAAGUACCUUUUGAAUACAUCACACUAGUUUUUAUGUUGCUGGAUUCAUCAAUCUAUGCGUCCAAUCCAAACGGCCGUUUUUGAUUUGAGUUUCUAGCAACAUACAAACUAGUUUGAUGUACUUAUUCAAAAGAUACUUAAGUAAAUACAAAAUAAAGUACGUAGUGGCCCCCUUUUAUAAAUAUUUUUCGUUAAAUUUAAAUAAUCACGAUUAUUUUGCAGUGGCGCUAGUGUGCACGUUGAUGGACUCUUAAUAAACGUAUCUUCCAUCUAGAAACUAUGUAGUGUAUUCCUGUCGUGUACGAAACCCGCGCACCGAUGGUAAUUCUAAUUAUUGACUAAGUAGUUUAGGUACUAUGUUAUACAAUCAGACUGCAAUCAGAUUAAUCCAUUUGCUUAUUUUAUUGGUAUUAGUUAUUUUAAACCUGCGUGCGUUAUGACGAAGUAUCAGUGUUUUUACAAUAUACAAAUACAAAAA